CAAUAGCGUAUAUUAAAAUUGUUGCGGUUAGAACGCUCGUAGUCGAAUGUUUGUUCAAGCCUGACGGUCCUCCCUAGUGGUGCGUACUCAGUUCGGUCUGAGCACUUCUCUGGUGCAAGUGUUUGCAGUUAGUUCUGUUGCACUUUGUCCAGAACUUUUACUUUGAGGAAAUGAGAGUGCUUCAAGCAAAUGUAUGUUAUGAAUACGUUAGCAUGGAAUAAUCGCAUGGGACGAUCAUCCUGAAUUUGUUGGUUUUUGGGUUAGGAUGUAAUGAAGGUGGGGGAGUAGUUGGGGGCGAUUCGUAUUUAACUGUUAGAGGUGAAAUUACUUGGAUUUUUAAAGUAAUGGACUACUGCGAAAGACAUCUGCCAAAGAAUGUUUUUGUUCGAUCAAGAACGAAAGUUAGGGGAGUCGAAGACGAUCAGAUACCAU
rnacentral:rRNA from 1 species